AGGUUGAUUUAUAAGCGCUGCUCUGG
rnacentral:piRNA from 1 species